rnacentral:rRNA from 1 species
UACAGAGGGCGCGAGCGUUGUCCGGAAUCACUGGGCGUAAAGGGCGCGUAGGUGGCCACCAUAAGGCCGCGGUGAAAGUUCGGGGCUCAACCCUGAAUCGGCCGCGGCGACUGUGGGGCUCGGGUACUGUAGAGGCAGAUGGAAUUCCGGGUGUAGCGGUGGAAUGCGUAGAGAUCCGGAGGAACACCGGUGGCGAAGGCGGGUCUCUGGGCAAUUCCUGACGCUGAGGCGCGAAAGCGUGGGGAGCAAACGGG